CCCUAGCCCCGAUUAAAGCAUUUGUUUGAGCUCAUUUUCUGUUUUUUUUUGGCGCGGCGGCUUCGCCGCCGCGCCAAAAAAAAACAGAAAAUAGCGAGUGCGGAAAGCGGGAAAUGGC
rnacentral:sRNA from 1 species